rnacentral:rRNA from 1 species
CUACGCACUCCUACGGGAGGCAGCAGUGGGGAAUAUUGCACAAUGGGCGCAAGCCUGAUGCAGCCAUGCCGCGUGUAUGAAGAAGGCCUUCGGGUUGUAAAGUACUUUCAGCAGUGAGGAAGGUGGGUAUGUUAAUAGCAUAUUCAUUUGACGUUAGCUGCAGAAGAAGCACCGGCUAACUCCGUGCCAGCAGCCGCGGUAAUACGGAGGGUGCGAGCGUUAAUCGGAAUUACUGGGCGUAAAGCGCAUGCAGGUGGUUUGUUAAGUCAGAUGUGAAAGCCCGGGGCUCAACCUCGGAAUUGCAUUUGAAACUGGCAAACUAGAGUACUGUAGAGGGGGUAGAAUUUCAGGUGUAGCGGUGAAAUGCGUAGAGAUCUGAAGGAAUACCGGUGGCGAAGGCGGCCCCCCUGGACAGAUACUGGCACUCAGAUGCGAAAGCGUGGGGAGCAAACAGGAUUAGAUACCCUGGUAG